GAAGCUAUGGGGUAGCUUGGUUUAUCCUUUCAGCUUUGGGAGCUGAGGACCUCGGUUCGAAUCCGAGUAGCCCCG
rfam:Archaeon GW2011_AR4 QS99_C0005, whole genome shotgun sequence.